UACGAAGGGUGCAAGCGUUAAUCGGAAUUACUGGGCGUAAAGCGCGCGUAGGUGGUUCAGCAAGUUGGAUGUGAAAGCCCCGGGCUCAACCUGGGAACUGCAUCCAAAACUACUGGGCUAGAGUACGGUAGAGGGUGGUGGAAUUUCCUGUGUAGCGGUGAAAUGCGUAGAUAUAGGAAGGAACACCAGUGGCGAAGGCGACCACCUGGACUGAUACUGACACUGAGGUGCGAAAGCGUGGGGAGCAAACAGG
rnacentral:rRNA from 1 species